AAACCAACAGGGAUUGCCUUAGUAGCGGCGAGUGAAGCGGCAAUAGCUCAAAUUUGAAAUCUGGCACCUUCGGUGUCCGAGUUGUAAUUUGAAGAAGGUAUCUUUGGUUUUGGCUCUUGUCUAUGUUUCUUGGAACAGGACGUCACAGAGGGUGAGAAUCCCGUGCGAUAAGAUGCCCAAUUCCAUGUAAAGUUCCUUCGACGAGUCGAGUUGUUUGGGAAUGCAGCUCUAAGUGGGUGGUAAAUUCCAUCUAAAGCUAAAUAUUGGCGAGAGACCGAUAGCGAACAAGUACUGUGAAGGAAAGAUGAAAAGAACUUUGAAAAGAGAGUGAAAAAGUACGUGAAAUUGUUGAAAGGGAAGGGCUUGAGGUCAGACUUGGUUUACCAGGCCAGCAUCAGUUUGGAUGGCAGGAUAAUAGCUAAGAAAAGUGGCACAGCUUCGGUUGUGUGUUAUAGUCUUGGUUGAUACUGCCUGUCUAGACUGAGGACUGCGUCUUUGACUAGGAUGCUGGCAUAAUGACCUUAAGCCGCCCGUCUUGAAACACGGGACC
rnacentral:rRNA from 2 species